rnacentral:rRNA from 1 species
UACGUAGGGGGCAAGCGUUGUCCGGAAUCAUUGGGCGUAAAGCGCGUGUAGGCGGCCCGGUAAGUCCGCUGUGAAAGUCGGGGGCUCAACCCUCGAAUGCCGGUGGAUACUGUCGGGCUAGAGUGCGGGAGAGGCGAGUGGAAUUCCUGGUGUAGCGGUGAAAUGCGCAGAUAUCAGGAGGAACACCAAUUGCGAAGGCAGCUCGCUGGAACGUAACUGACGCUGAGACGCGAAAACGUGGGGAGCAAACAGG